GCUCGCGGGGGCGGCGGGGCCGGGUCCGCCGCCGGGGGCGGCGACCGGUCCGGGUCCCGGUCCGGGUCCGGGUCCGAGGCCGGGGGCGGGUCC
rnacentral:tRNA from 1 species